rfam:Vibrio aerogenes CECT 7868 genome assembly, contig: 0039
AGACUCAACCACGCGUUUAGUCCCUACACAUACAGCAUCAUUCUGAUGUGGCAGGUGAAAAGUGAAUCAGGUGAGAAUCCUGAACUGUACCCGCAACUGUAAGCGGCCUUGUGUUUCCGGUGUGAAAUGUCAGCCCGUAAGUCAGAUCCUGCUAAACGAAGUAUCAGUUA